AUGCUGAGCUACUCCCGCCUGGCCCUGGUGGUCCUCAACCUCCAGGGGAACAGGCUGGGUGGUCUGGGGCUGUUGUCGGUGUGUCCCGGAUUGUCGAGGAACCGAUCCCUCACUUACC
rnacentral:ribozyme from 1 species